UGCGGUUCUCAGGUGAUGCACCCGGAACCAGAGAGGAGGGAGCCUGAUUCCAGGUGUGUCACCUGAGAACUGCC
rfam:Myotis davidii contig174444, whole genome shotgun sequence.